UACGUAGGGUGCAAGCGUUGUCCGGAAUUAUUGGGCGUAAAGAGCUCGUAGGCGGUCUGUCGCGUCGGCUGUGAAAACCUGGGGCUCAACCCCGGGCCUGCAGCCGAUACGGGCAGACUAGAAUUCGGCAGGGGAGACUGGAAUUCCUGGUGUAGCGGUGAAAUGCGCAGAUAUCAGGAGGAACACCGGUGGCGAAGGCGGCUCUCUGGGCCUGUCCUGACGCUCAGGCGCGAAGCUAGGGAGCGAACAGG
rnacentral:rRNA from 1 species